rnacentral:tRNA from 1 species
GAAGGAGUAGUUUAGUAAAAUACGAAGUUGUCAACUUUGAGAUAUCAAAUAAUUUGAUCUUCUUCU